rnacentral:rRNA from 1 species
UUGGAAAAGUACACCUGUCAGAGGACAAGAGAAGUUUCUUAAGGCAGGCCCAGAGAGGACAGAAACCCCCCAUGGAGCAGAAGGGCAAAAGCCCACUUGGUCUUAAUUUUCAGCACAAAUACAGACCAUGAAAGUGUGGCAUCAUGAUCCUUCUGGUCUUUCGGGGUUUAAGCAAGAG